CAGUGGUGUGAGUGGUCCUUUGACCUACGGUGUCAUUGGCUAUUCAUAGUGAGAUUACUGAGUUUGACUGUACGUUCCCUUGAUCUCUAGCUAUUCAGACCUUUGUUGUGUAUGUUGACUUCAGUAGAUUCAGAUUCGCUUUUUGGAGUAGGAUGCAUCUAGAUAAAAUCUAUCGAUCUUGAUAGAAAAAGAGAAGUCCUAUGUGAUUUGCGAGACUAAGUUUAGAAAAUCUUUGACCAAAGUAAGUGUGAAUACUGAAAAAAAAUUUUAUGAGAUUUAUAAAUGAACUCGAGUCGAGUCAAUCUAGCAUAUGACUAACAAUGGAGUCUGACGAGUUUUUCAUGACCUCCAUCAAGUUGGGACUCACAAUAAAAAGACUGAAUCAUAUGAUAACUGCACCUAGGGGUUCAUACUUUUAUUCUAUUGGGUUGCCACUACAUACUGCUAGAUGUCACUGAUAGAUUAUGAGAUUUAUUGGAUAUUAUCUUGAUGAUCGAUGACCUUCAAAAGAUAGAGCUAGAAUUAUUCCAAACAAUUGAAAAGAGUUUCGAUGAUAUUGUGAUGG
rnacentral:lncRNA from 1 species